rnacentral:tRNA from 1 species
GGUGGCUCAGUGGUAGAGUGCUUACCUUUCAUGCAAGAGGCCCUGAGUUUGAUUCCUCAGCACCA